GACGAACGCUGGCGGCGUGCUUAACACAUGCAAGUCGAGCGGAGCGGCGAACGGGUGAGUAACGCGGGAGUAACUGCCCCCCUCUCUGGGAUAACAGCUGGAAACGGCUGCUAAUACCGGAUAGAGGGGGAUGACUCGCGUCGUAUCAGCUUGUUGGGGGGGUAGGGGCCUACCCAGGCGAGGACGGGUAGCCGGCCUGGGAGGGCGACCGGCAACAUUGGGCUGAAAUACGGCCCAAACUCAUACGGGAGGCAGCAGUGGGGAAUGUUGCACAGUAGGGGAAACCCUGAUGCAGCGACGCGCGUGCGGGAUGACGGCCUUCGGGUUGUAACCCGCUUUCAGCCAUGACGCGGUAGUGGCAGAAGAAGCACCGGCUAACUACGUGCCAGCAGCCGCGGUAAUAC
rnacentral:rRNA from 1 species